rnacentral:rRNA from 1 species
CCUACGGGGGGCUGCAGUGGGGAAUUUUGGACAAUGGGGGAAACCCUGAUCCAGCCAUGCCGCGUGAGUGAAGAAGGCCUUCGGGUUGUAAAGCUCUUUCGUACGGAACGAAAUUGCCUGGACUAAUACUCUGGGUAGAUGACGGUACUGUAAGAAGAAGCACCGGCUAACUACGUGCCAGCAGCCGCGGUAAUACGUAGGGUGCGAGCGGUCAUCGGAAUUACUGGGCCGGUUGCCUGCGCAGGCCGUGAAAGCCCCGGGCUUAACCUGGGAAUUGCGUUUGGGACUGGGCGGCUAGAGUACGGCAGAGGGAGGUGGAAUUCCACGUGUAGCAGUGAAAUGCGUAGAGAUGUGGAGGAACACCGAUGGCGAAGGCAGCCUCCUGGGCCAGUACUGACGCUCAUGCACGAAAGCGUGGGGAGCAAACAGGAUUAGAUACCCCUGUAGUC